UUCAGAUAGUAAAAGAGCAUCAUUCAGUUCUUCUCACUUAAAAUUCUACUCAUAUUUUCCCUUCCCCACAGGUCAGGUUCAGUCUUUGGCCUGUGGGAUCUGUAGUUCUUAAGAGGCAUGGUCUUCUCUUUUACUCCUCCCAACUAUUUUCCUAUGAACUGUCAUAUGGGAAGAAGAAAUAGAGAAAAAUGGCUGGGGUUCAGCAUAGUUGGUUGCUUGUUAAUGGGAGAAGGUAACCCUCAAAUCUACUCUUUGAAGUCUCUAUCAACAUGAUGGCUUCUGAAGAGAUGCUGUGCAUGAUUUCUUAGGGGUACUCUUCAUCUUCAGCUUGAUAUCUUCCUUUACUGAGGAAACUUCCAGAAAGGGUCAACCAUAUCCCCCUUUUGGCUACACCAGCAAUCUUUGUCUUCAGACUUCUAUCUGAGUGGGGAAUCCUCUUGCCUGGCCAGCAGCUGCCUGAGCAGCUCCAUGUCCCUGACUCUUCUCCAACCUCUAUGUACCUUCUUACAGAGCCAAAGGAACUCCUGAGGUGGCCGCAUGGGCCCUCUGAUGGAUUAGGAGCAUUUCCCCAUUUUCUUCCCAUGUAUCCAAAACCAAGGAUGCCACACACUUCAUGAUUCAGUUGCUUCAGUGAGGUUUCUGCCUGAUGAAAUCACCAGAGUGAACAUGUGUCCCUGGGAGACCUGGACCCAGACAAAGACUAUGUUUCCCAGCCCCACUGACAUGUAGGUUGAAUGACUGAGGAGCCUAAAUAAACACAGCAGGAGAUUCAGCAAUGAGAGGUUUCACUGAAUGCAGACACAGAGCCUUUUAGUCCAAGGCUGGGGUGUGGAGGCCUCAUGCAACAGAGGAGAAGAAAGAAAAAGAUGAAUCGUCCAUGAAUCACAUCUUGAAAACAGUGCUCUAGGAAUCCAGAAGUUAUAGCUGGAAAAGCAAUGCUGAGGACAAAGUCCAGUGUGAAAGGUGAGGGUGAAGAUGGAAGAAUAUUUAAUGGGGUCAGAAUUCCAAAGGAUGGGCAAUUAACCAGGACAUAAUGUUCAGAACAAGCAUAAGAAGUAAAUUUAAAGUUGGUGCAGCCACUUAAAAGGGUCAUGGCCUGGCACUCUAUCAACAAAGAUAA